rnacentral:rRNA from 1 species
UACGUAGGUGCAAGCGUUAAUCGGAAUUACUGGGCGUAAAGCGUGCGCAGGCGGUUUUGUAAGUCUGUCGUGAAAGCCCCGGGCUCAACCUGGGAAUUGCGAUGGAGACUGCAAGGCUUGAAUCUGGCAGAGGGGGGUAGAAUUCCACGUGUAGCAGUGAAAUGCGUAGAGAUGUGGAGGAACACCGAUGGCGAAGGCAGCCCCCUGGGUCAAGAUUGACGCUCAUGCACGAAAGCGUGGGGAGCAAACAGG